rnacentral:lncRNA from 1 species
UGUACCCAAAUAGCCUCCAUCUUGAGCUGUCACAUCCUGAAGUUGUUAUUCCUAUUAAAUUUCUUGAUAAUAGUCUUUGAAGAAGUUCCAACACCAAUUUGUUAGAUCUAGUUCUAAGAAAUUGACGAAAAGGUUUUCAGGAACCCUAAAAGACAAAUAGCAAAGUAGAAAUAAAUAAAAUAGAGAUACAAAUUUACGUGGUUCGAUCAAUUGAUCUACAUCCAUGGACGGAGGAAGAGCAAAAUUUCACUAUGAAAAAGAGAGUACAAAAGUCUUAGGAAAGUGUUCUUAGGUCCAAAAACACCAAAUACUAAAAUGCAAGAGAACAAAAUAUUUUACUACAAAAAAAGUUCAAUGAUCCAAAGGUCCAAAUAGCCCACUAAAACUUUCUUUGUUUGUUGCACUUAAUCUCACCAAAAACCAACUCUAUUUGUAGCCAACUAAGGGAAAAAUUCUCUUGUACAAAACCAAUAUGGGAUAAAUGUGAGAACCCAAGAAAAUUAUGCGCAUGCCUUGCAUUUAUUUUAUUUUAUUUACUUUGAUAUUAGAAAUAUCACAUAUAAUGAAUAAUUGGUUAAAUUAAAUGCCUAAUUGAAUUCCUAUAAAAUUUAGAAUUUAGAAAAAUUUUAUGAAUUAAAUAAAUAUAUGGCAUGCAUAUCGUAAAUUAUGUCAUUUGCAAAUAUUACUAGACACGUAACAUAUACUAGAAAUUCAAUAAGUAUACGUCUAAAAAGUUUUUCUUAAAGCUAAAUGUGUCGAAAUUGACUAGAUCAACGUAAGAAAAGUUUCCACGAAAAUACAAAUUAAGUUUGGAGUGAAUGUAUGAAAUAAUAAACUAAAGGACCAAUUUAACCAUUAACGGUUGGACAAUUAACCAUGUAACCAAGAGAGGAAUUGAGCUUCUGGACAACCGAGGAACUUAGGCAUUCAAAUGCUUAAUUACUAGAGCUUUAUAAGCUGCUAAGUCCAAGCGGUGGCUGAAGGAAAAUCAAGAGGAAACAGCCACUAAAACUACUAAGGCUAAGCGGUGGAGAUGAGGAAACAAAAGAGGAGAAAACAAUCUGCUAGUUUGGGGCGGUGAGUGACUCACAUUUGGACAACUGCCGAAAUGAACCUGCUACCAAAAUUGUUGAGUAAGUAGUGACCGAAUGAGGGAAACUUUGGAAUCAUCAUCCACCGACUGAAGAAGCUUUGAGUGAUCAGCCACCGAGAGGAGAAAAUGAUAACCGAACAGCUUUUUCAUUUCUUCAUCUUUUAACCGUCCAAAACUGAGAGCUAAGUGAGUGAUAAGAAAAGAAAACGUGGAAGAUACUUACCUUCUCCAACCAUGAACACCAGCGAAGAAACAAGAGGAAACCAGGCAGCUCCUCACUUUUCUUCUUCCUUCUUCAUUUCAUUCCUUCUAUCUGAAACCAACCGAGAAAGUGGAACUAGAGGUGAGAAGAGGAAUCUGAUUAACUCCAUUAGCUACUAAACAUAAACAAACAAACGAACGCGAGGAACGGGAGAGAUAGCUGGUGCAAUUUUGAGGAACCGAAACUUAACUUGGAGCCGUCUGCACCUGCUGAAUUCUAGAGGAAAGGAGUUCUUGUCCUUAGUUUAGCUACCCGAGGGACAUUAAGAGGAAAAGGAGAGAAAGACCAAAAGAAAGAAACAACAACAGCAACUAGGAACUCAUUUCUGGCCUCCUUCAACCGUGAGAACCAGCCACAAAGAAAGAAGGAAUGCAGUCUAUCGAGCUAAGGAUGGGAGAGUGAAACCAGAAUUUUAUUUUCCUAACUUAGGCCAUAAGACCAGAGGUAAACUAUUGUCUUCCUCUUCCAUUUCUUCUACGUUUAGUUAGUAGUCUUUUAGACUGAGUUGGAACCAAGUAAAAGAAACUUUCUGGAAAACAAAGGUUGUCAAAGCUGGAAAUGUUCGUUUGAAGCUGCUAUGUGAUAUUGAUGAGCUAAUCUGCAAUUUUCCAGCUGUGUCUUCUGCUGCAUGUCUUACAUACAUUUUCUGGCCACAUAUCUUGACAUGCACCCUAUUUACACGGUCGAAUAAGGCCUGUUAAGAUGAAAUCAUGCCGAACUUUUAAAGCCAUACCAAAACUAGAAUCCCAAGACAGCAAAUUUGGAGGAAGAAACGCUGCUACAACUUUGGUCUUGUUAUUUGCAAACUUUGGUAGAUUGUAACUGGAACUCAUGUUUUAGGUCCUGUAUAACAUCUAUAGGUUGAUGCAUGUGAUACUUGAGAGGUUAAAAGCAAGAAAAGAUAGACCUGUGAGCAAUAUCAAGGCUGGAAAUGUUAACUGAUAGGCCACGGUUCCGUGGGGAAUUAGUGACAGCAACCGAAAGAGAAAGGAAGGGAACCGUGGCUGUCCUCUAUAAACCUUAGCUCCUAAACCUGUGUAGUAAGUGUAACCUAUCAUCCAGACCUUAAACCUCAACAAAGACGAGCGAAACCAGUAGAAACUCAAUUUCAUACUAAAGUAGAAAUGAGUGCAGGUUGGGUGGCCGAGGGAG